rnacentral:rRNA from 1 species
AUCAAUAAGCGGAGGAAAAGAAAAUAACAAUGAUUCCCCUAGUAACUGCGAGUGAAGAGGGACAAGCUCAAAUUUUAAAUCUAUCGGGUUUUACCUGAUCGAGUUGUAAUUUGAAGAUGGCGUUUUCUGUGUUUCUGAUCAGUCCAAGUCCUUUGGGAUAAGGCAUCAUGGAGGGUGAGAAUCCCGUUCGGUUGAUCAGAUUCGCUUUACGAUACGUUAUCAAAGAGUCAAGUUGUUUGGGAUUGCAGCUUAAAAUGGGAGGUAAAUUUCUCCUAAGGCUAAAUAACGGCGAGAGACCGAUAGCGAACAAGUACCGUGAGGGAAAGAUGAAAAGAACUUUGAAAAGAGAGUUAAACAGUACGUGAAAUUGUUGAAAGGGGAAACGAUUGAAGCCAGUCGUAACCUUCGGGGUAAUCAAGCCUUUUGGGGUGUGAUUUUGUGGAGCGUGAAGAGUUAAACGCCUUCAUGCCUGCAUAUUCGUGCACUUUGGGUGUACUUGCCCGUAUGGUUGGUUAACAUCAAUUUUGGUGGUCAUAAAAUGACUGGAGGAAUGUAGCUUCGAUCUUGUAUUGAAGUGUUAUAGCCUUCGGUAGAUGUGAUGAUCGAGAUUGAGGAUUGCAACGGAUACCCUUCGGGGCUACCUGUCUGGUCUCUGAUCGUUGCUCUGGUGCCGAAAGCUUGCUUACGGUUAUCAAAGUCGAUGGUCAAUAGGUUAGAACGGGUUAAAUUCGUUAAGGAUGUUGACGUAAUGGCUUUAAACGACCCGUUCUUGAAACACGGACCAAGGAGUCUAACAUAUAUGCGAGUGUUAGGGUGAUUAAACCCUUACGCGUAAUGAAAGUAAUUUUGGUGGGAACACUUUUGUGCACCAUCGACCGAUCAGGAUAUUUUUUGAUAGAUUUGAGUAAGAGCAUAUCUGCUAGGACCCGAAAGAUGGUGAACUAUGCCUGAAUAGGGUGAAGUCAGAGGAAACUCUGAUGGAGGCUCGUAGCGGUUCUGACGUGCAAAUCGAUCGUCAAAUUUGGGUAUAGGGGCGAAAGACUAAUCGAACCAUCUAGUAGCUGGUUCCUGCCGAAGUUUCCCUCAGGAUAGCAGAAACUCGUUAACAGUUUUAUGAGGUAAAGCGAAUGAUUAGAGGCCUUAGGGUUGAAACAGCCUUAACCUAUUCUCAAACUUUAAAUAUGUAAGAAGUUUAUCGUUACUUAAUUGAACGUGAACAUUCGAAUGAGAUUUCUAUGGCC